GCAAACUUGGUCAUUUAGAGGAAGUAAAAGUCGUAACAAGGUUUCCGUAGGUGAACCUGCGGAAGGAUCAUUACAGUAUUCUUUUGCCAGCGCUUAACUGCGCGGCGAAAAACCUUACACACAGUGAUUUCUUUCUUUGAAAACAUUGCUUUGGUCUGGCGCAAGUUGGGCCAAAGGUUUAUUAAACUUCAAUUUUAUUAUUGAACUGUUAUUUUAACAUAAGUCAAUUUGUUGAUUAAAUUCAAAAAUCUUCAAAACUUUCAACAACGGAUCUCUUGGUUCUCGCAUCGAUGAAGAACGCAGC
rnacentral:misc_RNA from 1 species